CAAAUUGGCUCCUUGGCGGCAUCAUCCUAAAUUCAUCAAAAAUUAAAAUCUCAGUCUUGCACAAAACCCAUCCAAAAUCUUAACUGCUUCGUGCUCAUUUUAUUCACCUCUUGUUGUCUUCUACUUUUCUCUCCUACCCGAAUCUCUCUUCUUCUCUCAUCUCCUUCUCUCCCGUCCCCAUUCUGGAUCUCUCGUCCUCAAAUCUCUAUCUUUCUCCUCCUUGCGCGUCGAUAUUUAACGGAUAUGGUGGUGAUACGGGCGACGGUGUCGACGAUGAUGGAGGUUCUUUUGGCUCUUCAAUUUCAUGCUUGGGGUUCGGAUUUUUUGGGUUUUUUGGAGAAAUCAAAGGAAUAUUGUCGACGUUGUAGCAGAUUAAAGAGGAAGCCAAAAGAAGAAUGAAGAGCCGAUGUCUAGGUUUGGUUUGGUUUCAUUCUUUAAUUGUUGAAUUUCUGAAGUGAAGUUAUGUUAAUUACAUGAAAUAUUCUAAAUAGUAAUUACUACCAAAAUGUAAUUUAUAGCUUCUAAAGUGAUUUCACAUUGAAUUUCAAAUGUUGACGACCUUGACCUUUUAGCUGACGAUUAGUCAAAAAAAUUAAUGUCGACUUCUGCAAACGUAAUUGAUUAUACGCUCUUGAAAAAAUACAGCAAGAACAUAGGAAUUCAAUGUAUCGAAAUCGAAAACCAUCCUUGCAAAUAUGACAAAUUUGGAAAUCAAAUUGAAGAAAAUUAAAUCUCUCAAAAAUAAAACGCUUGCAUUUUUAAAUUCAAAGAAUUUACUAUAGAAGAAAACAAUACACAAUAACAACUAAAUCAAAACAUGAAGAAAAAUAUGAUUAGCAACCCGAAAAUUUUCAAUUUUCAUCUCGCAGUUUGAUUUUUUAUUUAGAUCUCAUAUAUGCUUUGACAUUCAAUUCUUAGUCAUUUGAUCUUUGAUUUCAUUCUCUAUUGGUGAAAGUGAUGGGAAAAUUAAGGUAUUAGAUUUUGAAAUAUUUUCUUUUUAUUUUUUAAUUUAAUAAAUCGAGAUGAUCUUGUACAUCUUUGGGUUUUUUGGGUAUGUUCUUCUUCCAUUUCUCUCAUUAUGUUUUAACUGUUGCCUUGAUUUGCAUAAUAUAUAAGUUUAAAUAUUAGGUUUUCUAAAUUAAAUUCUGAUUUAGGCUUAGAUCUUAGGGUUUUUCAUAAUUGGGUUUGAGUUUUUUAUGAAAAUAUUUUUUUUCUUCAUAAUUUGAUUUUUCUGCUUAAAUUGACGACCUGGGUAGCCUGAGGCAGGUAUUUCAACUUUCAUUCUUUUCAAGUUUCUCUAAAGAUUGAGCUUGAGCAAAACUCAAAUUUGGUGGGUUUAGUUUAUGUUAUGACUGGGUAUUUGAAGCUCAUUAUAGCACAAGUUCCAUACGGAGAGCUAAAUUUACUCUUUAAUUUGGAGGUUUGAAAAUGUAAGGUAGUCCUGAUAUUUAUGUGUUUGUGUGUGUAUAUGUUAUACAAAAGAUGUGAAUUUUUAUUACAUAUUUACGAAUUGCAUUAUACUACGUAAUAGUGCUAACUUGUUAUUAACGCAUGUGAAUAAAGUAAAAUAAUUUACUCUCUUGUCCUACAUGAUCUUUUACAGUUGUACAAAUCAAAGAAAAGAGAGUGCGAGAGGGAAUCUAUACUUAAAUGAAAAGAAAAGACAAUAUAUGACCUAUAAAAGAGGGCAGCGUAUCUAUUGGAUGUGUGGCAGUUGACACGAGCCAAAGAUUAGAGGAAAACCAACUCAAUAAGAUGUUAUUCUACUUCAGGCAUGUAAUCUUUCUAGUUAUUCAUCUUCACCGCGGUUGAAAAUAUUAUUGUAGAAUGAUGAGGAAACAACAUUAGCCCUUGGGUUACCAUUUCAUUACCACCUCCAAUAUCAUUUCUAUUGUUGCCACACGUAUCGAAGUUAUUGUUCGUGGUGAUAGACUCUGCACUUUGCAGUAGAGGUGUAUCUGCAAAGCCAAAGUAAUGGCUUUGAGGAUUUUUCCUGAUCCUAAAUUUAGUUACCUUGUUGUAUAUAUGACUGUUGUGCUAGUUUAGAUUAGAUUGUUCUCUUGUUUGCUAUCCUAAUAAUAUAUUGGCUCAUUUCAUUUGUUCUAGAAGUAUAUAUAUGUAUCAAGAUUUUCCCGUAAUCAGUUUAAGUACAUAUACUAUAUCUUUUAAUGUGUUCUAAAUAAUAUUAUAUUUAUGUUCUUAAGGUAUAGAUGCACCCCCAAAGAAAAACCUAAGCCAGUGGGAGCUCUAUCAACUUCCCAAGCAUGUUCCGGAUUUUGAUCUUAAUCUUAAAUUUCCCCCAACUUCAGACCUUUUUGUUAAACUGAUGUUCUAACUCUGAUUUAUGAGGAGCUAUCAGGGGUACAUUGGUGGUACAAGAUCGAUAGUCAUGCAGCUGAACUAACAGCAGGGUUCUGCAACCUAUGUAACCGUGAUGGUAUGCUGCAAUGAUGUCCAUGUUGAAGAAACAUGGAGUUGCUUUGACCUUCACGCCUGCAGAAGUGGACUUGUUGGAUCAGCUUGAGGAUUCUUCUAAACCACUUGUCGUUCCCGAAGGACUGGCUUGGCAAAAUUAAUGGGACUCGUCAUAACUUGGAAUGGAGCAGCCACUAACAACCCAACAUUUGCAGAAAUAAUUCUUGAGAAAUGACGAACAAGCAUAUAUACAUUGGAUCAUUCUCUCGAGAAUAUGCAUUGGAUCGUUCUGUCGGUCGUUGUGAAGGUGAUGAUUCUGGGAGUUGGUCAUGUAGGGGUGGGCCAUAGAUUUUUUUUAAUUCUAAAUAGUUCGUGGGAGUUGUAUACUCUAACUUUUAUUCAUUUAUUUUAAUUUAUUGUUCUAAGUUUGUUACUUAGUAGAAUUUGGAUGAUUAAAGUGUUAAAUGUUAAUAAUAAUUGGUAUUUGGAAAUUGGAAAUUGUUUGACUUUUUAUUUAA